GCACCUAUAGCUUAAUGAAAAGCAACGAUUCUAUCAUCUUCUCGUGAUGCAAGUUCAAAUCUUGCUAGGUGCA
rnacentral:tRNA from 1 species